rnacentral:rRNA from 1 species
GAUGAACGCUGGCGGCGUGCUUAACACAUGCAAGUCGAACGAAGCACUUUAUUUGAUUUCCUUCGGGACUGAUUAUUUUGUGACUGAGUGGCGGACGGGUGAGUAACGCGUGGGUAACCUGCCUUGUACAGGGGGAUAACAGUUGGAAACGGCUGCUAAUACCGCAUAAGCGCACGGCAUCGCAUGAUGCAGUGUGAAAAACUCCGGUGGUAUAAGAUGGACCCGCGUUGGAUUAGCUAGUUGGUGAGGUAACGGCCCACCAAGGCGACGAUCCAUAGCCGACCUGAGAGGGUGACCGGCCACAUUGGGACUGAGACACGGCCCAAACUCCUACGGGAGGCAGCAGUGGGGAAUAUUGCACAAUGGCGAAAGCCUGAUGCAGCGACGCCGCGUGAGCGAAGAAGUAUUUCGGUAUGUAAAGCUCUAUCAGCAGGGAAGAUAAUGACGGUACCUGACUAAGAAGCACCGGCUAAAUACGUG